rnacentral:misc_RNA from 1 species
AUUGCAAUGAGCAAGAGUUUUUCAUCAAUAGACAAAACCAAAUAACCUUUUCACCAUACUUUCAUUUGUAAUGUCAAUCCCUCAAUCCUAAUAUAAUUAGGAAUCAUUCCCAAUUUCGGAAUAACACAAUAAUAAAAAUUUUACUCUAUCUAGAAAAUAAUCCUCCAUCCUGUUAAAAAAUAUUUCUUUCACUCAAAUCAGGAAAAGGGUCUCCAAAUCCCAUUAGAAUUUUG